rnacentral:rRNA from 2 species
UGUCGUCAGCUCGUGUUGUGAAAUGUUGGGUUAAGUCCCGCAACGAGCGCAACCCUUAUCCUUUGUUGCCAGCGGUUCGGCCGGGAACUCAAAGGAGACUGCCAGUGAUAAACUGGAGGAAGGUGGGGAUGACGUCAAGUCAUCAUGGCCCUUACGACCAGGGCUACACACGUGCUACAAUGGCAUAUACAAAGAGAAGCGACCUCGCGAGAGCAAGCGGACCUCAUAAAGUAUGUCGUAGUCCGGAUUGGAGUCUGCAACUCGACUCCAUGAAGUCGGAAUCGCUAGUAAUCGUAGAUCAGAAUGCUACGGUGAAUACGUUCCCGGGCCUUGUACACACCGCCCGUCACACCAUGGGAGUGGGUUGCAAAAGAAGUAGGUAGCUUAACCUUCGGGAGGGCGCUUACCACUUUGUGAUUCAUGACUGGGGUGAAGUCGUAACAAGGUAACCGUAGGGGAACCUGCGGUUGGAUCACCUCCUUACCUUAAAGAA